UCUAUUUCUUAAAAUGCCAGAUAUAAUGGAACCCAUCAGAAACCAAGGAUAACACCUUUAUCAGAAGCUGCGAUUCAUUGCACAUAACUCUGUACAUUCAGAGAUGAGAUUUGAUAAUGGAUGCAAUAGAAUCAAAGGAAUGGCAAGUGCCAUACUCUACCACAGCUAAGCUGUAAAAAACAAAACCAAGAGCUGCCAUCUGUUUCCAACAUAUAUUGAAUCCUUGGUCAUCUAAUCCAAACUGACGCUCCCUAAUCAUUGCUUCCUUGACUACCAUCCUCUAAAGUAGUCUUUCCAAAGGGUCGUUUGUCAAGCUGCUGCCGCUGCUGUUAUCCUCCUCUGGAAUCCCUGUUCCCAGAGACGAGGGCCUGGGAAGGAAGAAGAAAAGCACUUUCCAGGGACUCGGCUAAGAGGAAGAACCAACAACAAAGUGGCCCAGAGAAAGUGAAAGAACCCGGGCAGGCAUCAGUUCACAGGCCACAGGCAUUCCACAGGCACCUCGUCAGGAAAUUAGUCUAAUCGACACCAGCUUACAAAGAGAAAGGGAAAACACUGGUCCCGGGAGGAUGCCUCCUCUGUCCAGGUGACCGUAUCACCAAAGCCUUUGCUUUUUCUUCCCCAGAUAAGGGAGGCCCAGGAUCCUUCAGCUGCAUGGGAAUUGCAUCCAGGCCACAUUGGCGAUCAGGACUUAAAAUUUGUUGCCGGUCAGUCGUACAAAGGUUUCCCUUAUCCUGAUUUACAGCUGCUUGUGCUUACACCUCUCCUACCCAAGUACCAGCAAUAAAUAUCAAUCAUGUUCCUUAUUGACCAAUCACCUUCAUUAUCCUCCUCUAACAGUGCUCCACAAGCCAUGAUAAAUAGGCAAAUAAAAUGAGGAAUACUUGUUUUCAGUCAAAUAGGCUUUUACAGGAUCUCGGUUCUCGUGUGAAUAAGAUAUUCAUAUAAAUUUACUUGAGUGUACACGUGUUGAUUAUAAAUCAAGGAACCUGAUUUAUUGAUAAAUCUAGCAGAAUGCAU